GGGGGAAUUAAAAUCUUGUUGCUCAAUUGGCUACUACAUACCAUACAUCCUGAUAAUAACAAUGGCAAAAAAGGAGGAAAUGAGGCAAAUGAUUCAACAACAAAAGGGGCAUAUGAUCACUCCAUUCUCAUUACAAUCAGAACAAUCUAUGGAUUCAACGUUCCCCUCCCGAAUAAUUUUUCGACUUCCAUUGCAAUUGAAACACAUAAUAAACCUUAUUCCAGCACAGCCUUCACAUGGACCUUCAGAUCUGUUAAUGGCAAUUCCUUCGAAGAGUGGCUUAAGCUUUCCUUUUUCAUGCAAUCCCAAAACCUCCUCUGCUCCACCUAUGUACAUCCCUUUAAUAAAAAGCCUUGGAGGCACCACUUUUCCACCCAAAAUCCUCCACAAUUCUUCCUUAAACUCUGAAUGCAUCGAAAUAUCCCUCUCGUAAAACAAAAUCUUUAAAUUCUGCAAUAGGGACCUAAGCCUAUGACAAUCCUCGAAUGUCUUUCGUAUUCCUCUAAGCCCCGUUGUGUAGAGAAUAACUGAAUCGCUUCCCCCUGGUGGACACUUUUCUUCGAAUUCUAGUAGAGAACCAUUUUCUUCCUCGAUUUUCCGUGUUUUUAACGGUGGCGGUACUGGUUCCUGAUAAUCCAAAAUUCCCCUUUUCUUUUCCUCAAUUCUGGAUGUUCUCUCUGCCUCUUGGGCUUUAACUUCAGUAAUUGCCUGCUCAAAUGCUGCAAGAAGGUUAGGGUCAAAAAGGGUUCCAGAAUCUAAAUCCGGCUGCCUGAAACAUAAUAUAUCAAUCUCCGACAGAGGAAUAUCCUCUCUCUCCUCUCCUACAAUUUGAUUAGUUUCACAAACCUCAUUCUGUUGUUUAGAUGAAUGAACAAUCUCCAGUUUUUCUUCAAAAUUAUUCGGGAUCUUCGACUUUAUUGCUGGCCUAACGUUUUCUUUAUCAUUGAAUUCAUCGUCAAACUCCAUUUCUUGAUCUUCCAGGUCCUUCAUUAGCUCUGAUACAUCAAUGAUCUCUGGUUCUUGUACUGGAACUCUGAUCUCAACACAUUUGUUGGGUGCUUCUUGGAUUUGCACGAGGGCAGGAGGAGCCGAGGAAUUUGAUUUCGGUGAUGAAGUGUAGAGGCUUUCAUUCAAUUCAUUUACCCGAAGAACUUUUUCUGGCUUCAAGUAACCAAUUGUCUUGAAAGUCUUCAAUUUUUUUAGUAGCUUCCCUUUCAUCCCCUUGAUAUUUUUUUCCAUCUGGAUACUGCUUUCAAAAAUUACGAGGUCUAAAUUCAAGAUUUGCAGAGAUAACAAAGGAUUUGAGCGUGGAAGAAGUAUAAGGUAAAUUUGGGUUUAAUAGGUUGGAGAAAUUAAGAACAGAUACUACUUUAUUUUUUAGGCGUUACAAAAUACAGGGAGUGAGAGAGUUAACGGCUAUAAUGAUUUUUGUGGAUUUUAAAGUUUAAAAACGAUUUGGUGGGAGGACGUGCACGGCGGAUGGAGUGGACCAGAAAUGGUUCUGUUACCAUGUGUUGUGUUCAUGGAAUAUAAAUGAGUUUUGCUAGUUGCACACUCCCUCGUAAGAGGGGGGUCGGCGAUUUUUUUUAUUAAAUGCUCACAAGAGGGGCACUCGCGAUUUUUUUAUUGGAUGCGGGCCCUCCUUUUUGUGAGAGGGCUAUACACCGAGCACAACCAACAAAAUUCAAUAAAAAUAGACCUAAUUACUUGAGAAAUACUGUAUAUUUGAAGAAAAAUACGAUCUCAAAUUUAAUAUUUCCUUUUCUUUUAAAAAAAAAAAAAUUUACUUCAUGCCCUAAUUAACAUGAAUCUAAGAAACUAAAUCCCACGUAAUAUGUCAUACUCUUAAAUUUCUUAUCCAACAAUUAAUUACAAACCAAUCUAAGAGUAAUCAUAUUCAUAGUCAAUUAUCACAGUAGACAUUUUAUGUGACAACUUGUUAUUUGAGGUAACAUAAUUACAGAA
rnacentral:lncRNA from 1 species